rnacentral:rRNA from 1 species
UACGGAGGAUGCGAGCGUUAUCCGGAUUUAUUGGGUUUAAAGGGUGCGUAGGUUGUUUUUUAAGUCAGCGGUGAAAGUUUGCGGCUCAACCGUAAAAUUGCAGUUGAAACUGGCAGUCUUGAGUACAGUAGAGGUGGGCGGAAUUCGUGGUGUAGCGGUGAAAUGCAUAGAUAUCACGCAGAACUCCGAUUGCGAAGGCAGCUUACUAAGCCAUAACUGACACUGAAGCACGAAAGCGUGGGUAUCGAACAGG